rnacentral:misc_RNA from 1 species
GAAACGCGAUAGUUAAUGUGAAUUGCAGAAUUCAGUGAAUCAUCGAGUCUUUGAACGCACAUUGCGCCCAUAGGUAUUCCUUUGGGCAUGUCUGUUUGAGCGUCAUUACAACCCUCAGCUAACCGCUGGUUUUGAACCUGAACGGGUGACACCGCGCCGGUUUUAAAGUUGUAAGCUCUGCUGGCCGCUCUGCCCAACCAGAACAUAGUAAGCACUACUUGUCCGGGUGAAGCUGAACGGUACGGCCUGAACAAAACCUACCCACUCUCAAGGUUUGACCUCAGAUCAGACAAGGAUACCCGCUGAAGAUACGC